rnacentral:misc_RNA from 1 species
GGAAGGAUCAUUCUAACUCGCUAUCAUUUGUGACAGCGACUCGUCUAAGAAAUAUUCGUCUCGACUGAAUAGAACCUAUAAUUUUGAUAAUAAACUAAACUUUUAGAAUCUUGACGGUGAAUACAUUGGCUUCUAGAACGAUGAAGAACGCAGCGAACCGCGAUAUGUAUUGCGAAUUGCAGAAUUCAGUGAAUCAUCAAACUUUCGAACGCAGCUUGCGAUCAUUGGUUAUUCCUUUGAUUAUGUUUCUCUGACAUGUUGAAUAUACAUUCAAAUGUUUUAACAAACAUUGAACUCUAGUUUCAAACUUUCUUUAUUGAAAAGAGAUAAAAGACAAUAAACAACUGUUGACUUUGUUCUGAUUGCCCUUUGAGCAUGUUCCUGAAAUUAAUACUUGACUGGAAACACUUGCUUAAAGCUAUCAUCUACCUUGCUUAACUCCAUUGUUUGCUAUGACUUUAUCAUCUCUGUGUCAGAUGAAGCACGGUUACCCCCUGAAUUUAAGCAUAUAAAUAGGGGGAGGACAAGAAACUAAAUAGGAUUCUCUUAGUAACGGCGAGUGAACAGAGAUCAGCUCAAGCCUUUAAUCUUUCUUUCUCUGGAAUGGAAGAAAUGUGGUUUGUGGAAGUAUAUUCAGAGUGUGGCCCAGGUCGAAGUUCGCUGGAAAGCGGCACAACGUAGGGUGAAAGUCCUGUGAUUGGCUUGGAGAUUGCCUCGUACGGAUAUCUUUCUGAGAGUCGGAUUGCUUGGGAGUGCAGUCUAAAUGGGAGGUAAACUUCUUCCAAAGCUAAAUAUAUCUAGAAGACCGAUAGCAUACAAGUACCGCGAGGGAAAUGUGAAAAGGACUUUGAAAAGAGAGUUAAAAGUAUUUGAAACCGUCAACGAUCAAGCAAUUGAUUUUAUUGAUUUUGGAAUCCUCAUGUUGGUCUAUUGAUAUUUCAGGGUAUUAUCCGGUGGUUUUUAACCUUCUUGAUUUUCUGAAACGUUACUAGAUUGUGCAUGGUGAUUUGAAGUUACUUCAGUGUUAUUUUAAGAUUGUAUCUAUCCUUUGCAAAGGUAAGUGUGUGAUUGUUUACAUGAUCCCUGAAUGUGCAAAGGAAUUGGCGAUCUUGAUUUUACAUUUAUUGUAUAAAUGAGAUCUAUUGACCCGUCUUGAAACACGGACCAAGGAGUGUAACGCUUGUGCAAGUCUUCGACGUAGCAUCGUCGAUUGCGAAAUGAAAGUAUAGACAAAGACUUUCUUUGUUAUGAUGCCAAACCACGUUUUUUGUGGCGUCAGCAUCGUCCGGCUUCUUCUUUUGUGAGAGGUUCGAGAUAAAGCACGACCGAUACGACCCGAAAGAUGGUGAGCUAUACUUGCGCAGGGUGAAGCCAGGGGAAACUCUGGUGGAAGCUCGCAGCGUUACUGACGUGCAAAUCGUUCGUCUGACGUGGGUAUAGGGGCGAAAGACCUAUCGAACCAUCUAGUAGCUGGUUCCCUC